GAAAUGCGAUAAGUAAUGUGAAUUGCAGAAUUCAGUGAAUCAUCGAAUCUUUGAACGCACCUUGCGCUCCUUGGUAUUCCUUGGAGCAUGCCUGUUUGAGUAUCAUGAAAACUUCAAAGUAAAUCUUUUGUUAACUCAAUUGGUUUCUACUUUGGUAUUGGAGGUCUUUGCAGCUUCACACCUGCUCCUCUUUGUUCAUUAGCUGGAUCUCAGUGUUAUGCUUGGUUCCACUCGGCGUGAUAAGUUAUCUAUCGCUGAGGACACUGUAAAAGGUGGCCAAGGUAAAUGCAGAUGAACCGCUUCUAAUAGUCCAUUGACUUUGACAAUACUUUUAUGAUCUGAUCUCAAAUCAGGUAGGACUACCCGCUGAACUUAAGC
rnacentral:misc_RNA from 1 species